UGGCUGGCAGCGCGGCUGCCCCGCGCCUCGCAGGCGCGGCGGCUUGAGGCCGGGGCAAGCGUUCCGCUGCGCGGCCAGCCGC
rnacentral:tRNA from 1 species